rnacentral:rRNA from 1 species
GAAUUGCUAGUAAUGGCAGGUCAGCAUACUGCCGUGAAUACGUUCCCGGGCCUUGUACACACCGCCCGUCACACCAUGAGAGUUGGGGAUACCCGAAGCCUGUGAGCUAACUUUUAGAGGCAGCAGUCGAAGGUAGAAUCAAUGAUUGGGGUGAAGUCGUAACAAGGUAUC